rnacentral:rRNA from 1 species
ACGGAAGGCAGCAGUGGGGAAUAUUGGGCAAUGGGCGAAAGCCUGACCCAGCAACGCCGCGUGAAGGAAGAAGGUCUUCGGAUUGUAAACUUCUUUUAUGAGGGACGAAGGACGUGACGGUACCUCAUGAAUAAGCCACGGCUAACUACGUGCCAGCAGCCGCGGUAAUACGUAGGUGGCAAGCGUUGUCCGGAUUUACUGGGUGUAAAGGGUGCGCAGGCGGGACUGCAAGUUGGAUGUGAAAUACCGGGGCUCAACCCCGGAACUGCAUCCAAAACUGUAGUUCUUGAGUGGAGUAGAGGUAAGCGGAAUUCCGAGUGUAGCGGUGAAAUGCGUAGAUAUUCGGAGGAACACCAGUGGCGAAGGCGGCUUACUGGGCUCUAACUGACGCUGAGGCACGAAAGCAUGGGUAGCAAACAGGAUUAGAUACCCUGGUA